CCUUGGUGACUGUAGUGUGCAAGAUUGUGUGCGGUUUGGUUUCUAAUCUUUCAUUUCUUUCCAACAUGAAAAAAUAACCUUCCUCAGGCAAGAAAAAAACAUUGUACUUGGGGAGUUGCCUUUGAUCAAAGAAAGGGGUAAUAGCUCUUUCCUGAAAAUGGUGACAAGAAUGAAAAAUGGAAAGAAAGAUCUAUUUUAACUAGAAGUAAUGAUUUUGGGGGAGGAAUAGGGAGAGUAUAUGUGAGGAAACAAGGAAGGAAACUGAGAGUAACAGUCACUGAUGCCAGUUUGUGAAAGGGAUGAGGCUGACCAACAUGCCUUGAGGCCAUAUCAGAAAAUUUUAGUUUUCAUAUAAAAUAUUUACAUUUCCAUCUUUUUUUCCUAUAUUAUGAGGGUAAUCAAAAGAAGAAUUUUGGCUUUGUACAGAAUUUUCCUACAUAUUGAUGAAGUAAAAAUGCCAAGUAUAUUCACAUUUUCAAGGUUUUACUGAGAAUAAAGUUUAUACCUAGAAAUGAUUUUAAUACAAGCAAUGGGCUAUCCUAGGAAAACAAAACGGAGAGAGAUGGUCUAACAGGAAUGAUGUAGCAGAAUUAACAUAAAUGCUGCUAUGCUUUGGUUCUGUGUCCCCACCCAUUAUCACGUGUUGAGGGAGGGAAGUGAUAGGAUUAUGGGGGGGUGGGUGGUUUCUCCCAUGCUGUUCUCGUGAUAGCGAGUCUCACGAAAUCUUUUGGUUUUAAAAGAGGCAGUUUUUUCCUGUGCUCCUACUUCCCUCUCUUCUGUCACCUUGUGAAGAAGGUGCCUGCUUCCUCUUCACCUUCCGCCAUGAUUGUCAGCUUCCUGAGGCCACCCCAGACAUGCAGAGCUGUCUGAAGUCUCAGUGGGCUCAACCAGCUCCCCUGUUCAACAUCCGGCAAGGUCCAAACGAAGGUGACAAUCAACAGGGAUCUUAUUGGGAAGCUCUGAUGGUGUCAGAAGUGGGAUCUGAAGUAGAGCCUUAACAAUCUCCAGGACUGCUGAGUGAACAAGCAAGGUACCUGCAAGGACCUACUUUUGUCCCUUGAUCUCUCAAAGUGGCUGGGGAUCAUGGGAGAAGGAACAGUUGAUGCCCAGUUAACCCUGAGAUCAUCUCUGUCUGCAUCUUCCUAUCAUCAUAGCAAGCUCUUUCUCUGCAGUCCACCGUCUGUAUCUGCCCUUUGCUAUAUAGAUAGCAAAAAUAAGCAUCUGAAAAGUUGCUCAACACCAUAUGUCACCAGGGAAUUCAAAUUAAAUCAAUGAUGAGAUACCACUACACAUCUAUUAGACUGGCUCAAAUCCAAACGCUGACACCAACAAAUGCUGAUGAGGAUAUGGAGCAACAGGAACUCUCAUUGAUUGCUGCUGGGAAUGUAAAAUGGUAAAGCCACUGUGGAAGGCAGUUUUGCAAAUUCCUGCAAAACUAAACAUAUGCUUACCAUAUGAUCUGGCAAUUGCAUUCUUUGGUAUAUACUCAAAUGACUUGAAAACUUAUACCCACUCAAAUUCUGCACAUGAAUGUUUAUAGCAGCUUAUACAUGACCAACAAAGAUUGGAAGUAACCAAGAUAUCCUACAAUAGGGAAAUGGAUAAACUAACUGUGAAGCAUUCAUACAAUGGAAUAUUCUUCAGGAAUAAAAAGAAAUGAACUACCAAGGCAUGACAAGACAUGGAGGAAUCUUAAACACGUAUUUCUAAGUGAAAGAAGCCAAUGAAAAAAGGCCACAUAGUGUAGAGUUCCAAUUAUAUGGAAUACUAGAAAAGGCAAAACUAGGCAGAUGGUAUUAUAAAAAGUUCAGUGGUUGCCAGGGGCUUGAGCAGAGGGAAGGAUGAAUAGGUGGAACACAGAAGAUUUUUAGGGCAGUGAAACUUUUCUGUGUGACCCUAUAGUGGUGGAUAUAUGUGCUUAAGCAUUUGUUGAAGCCCAUAAAUGGUAGAACACAAAGAGUGAAUCUUAAUGUAAGCCAUGAACUUAAUAAUAUCAAUAUUGGCUCAUCAAGCAUAACAAAUGUACCACACUAACAAGAUGAUAAUAGAAGAAGUGUGUGUACUGUGGUGUGAGGCAGAUAUUAAGCUCAAUAUGCCUUCUGCUCUAUUUUUCUGUACACCUACAACUGUUCUAAAAAUUUUCAAUUAUUUAUUUGUUAAUUAUUAUUUUCUAAUAUAUUUUUCGAGAUGGAGUCUCACUCUGUUGCCCAAGCUGGAAUGCAACAGCAUGAUCUUGGCUUACUGCAACCUCUGACUCCCAGCUUCAAGCGAUUCUGCUGCCUCAGUCUCCUGAGUAGCUGGAAUUACAGGCACCCGCUACCAUGCCCAGCUGACUUUUUGUAUUUUUAGUAGAGAUGGGGUUUCACCAUGUUAGCCAGGAUGGUCUUAAUCUGCUGACCUCAUGAUCCACCCACCUUGCCCUCUCAAAGUGCUUGGAUUACUGGUAUGAGCCAUCGCACCAGGUCUUAUUUAUCUUUUUGAGACAGGUUUUAGCUCUGUCACUCAGGCUGGAGUGCAGUGGUGCAAUCGUGGCUCAAUGCAGCCCCAGCCUCCAGGGCUCAAGUAGCCAUCCCACCUCAGCUUACUGAGUAGCUGGGACCACAAGCGUGUGCCACCAUACCUGGCACAUUUCUUAGACCUCUGAAAAGAUGCUCAACACCAUAUGUCACUAGGAAUAUUUAGUAUUCAACUAGAGGCUUCAAUGGGCUCUGAAAUAUCCCCUCCUGAACUCUAUAAAAAGCAUGUUUCCAACAAGCUGAAUGAAAACAAAGGUUUACAUCUGUAAGAUGAAUUCACACAUCAGAAAGCAUUUUCACCAAGAACUUUUCUAGUUUUAUAGCAGGAUGUUCAUUGUUUCAAUAUUGGUCUCAAUGGGCUCCAAAAUGUCCCUUUGUACAGUCUACAAAAAUUUUUGCCAAUGUACUGAAUCAAAACAAAUGUUUAACACUGUGAGAUGAAUUUUCACAUCACCAAACAUUUUUACAGAUAAUUUGUAUCUAGUUUUUAAUCACAAAACUUUGAAUUUUUCACUAUAAGCCUCAAAGGGCUCUAAAUUGUCCCCUCUUAGCUUCUACUAAAAGAGAGUUUUGAACCUACUGUGUAGAAACAAAAGUUUAACUAUGUGAAAUAAAUCCCCACAUUGCAAAGCUAUUUCUCAGAUAGCUUGCUUCUAGUUUUUAUCACGAAUUAUUCAGCUUUUCACUGUAGGCCUCAAUGGGCUCCGAAAUGUCCCUUCAUACAUUCUACAAAAAGAGUGUUUCCAACUUAGCUGAAUCAAAAGAAAUUUUAAACUGUAUGAGAUGAAACCGCAAAUUGCAAAGCAUUUUCACAUAUAGCUUCUAUAGUUUCUAUCGUAUAAUAUUCAGUUUUUCACUACAGGCCUCCAUGGGCUAUGAAAUGUCCCCUCAUAGGUUCUAUAAAAAGGUGUUUCCAACAUGCUGAAUGAAAACAAAGAUUUAACUUUGUGAGAUGAACCCACACAUCACAAACCAUUUUUAUAGAUAGAUUUUCUCUAGUUUUUAUUGUGGAAUAUUCAAUUUCAUGCUACAGGCCUCAAUUUGCUCCAAAACUUCCCCUUGUAGAUUCUACAAAAAGAAUAUUUCCAACCUGCUGAAUCAAAAGAAAUGUUCAAUUCUGUGAGAUGAUAUGCAAAGCUUUUUCACAGACAGCCUGUUUCUAGUUUUUAUCCUGGGGUAUUUGAUUUUUCACUGUAAGCAUCAAUGGGCUCUGAAAUGUCCCUUUGUAGAUUCUACAAAAAGAGUGUUUCCAACCUGUUGAAUCAAAACAAAGUUUUAACUUUGUGAGAUGAACCCACACAUCACAAAGCAUUUUCACCCACAGCUUGUUUCUAAUUUUUACCAUGGGUUAUUUGUUUUUCACUAAAUGCCUCAAUGGACUAUGAAUUGUUGCCUUGUAGAUUGAACAACCAAAGAGUUUCCAACCUGCUGAAGGAAAACACAGGUUUAACUUUGUAAGAUGAAUCUACCCAUUGCAAAGCAUUUUUACAGAUAGGUUGCUUUGAGUUUUUAUCAAGAGAUAUUUGAUUUUUCACUGUAUGCUUCAAUGGGUUAUGAAACUCCCCUUGUAGAUUCUACAAAAAAAGUUUCCAAACUGAUGAAUCAAAAGAAAAGUUCAACUUUUGAGAUGAAAUCACACAACACAAAGUAUUUUAAGAAAUAGCUUCUUUAUAGUAUUUAUCGCAGGCUAUUAGAUUUUCCAAUAUUAGCCUCAACAAGCUCUGAAAUGUCCCUUUGUAGAUUGCACAAAAUGAGUGUUUCCAACCUAUGGAAUAAAAAGGAAGGUUUAACUCUGUGAGAUAAAUCCAGGCAUCACAAAGCAUAUUCACAGAUGGCUUAUUUCUAAUUUUUGUUGUGGGAUAUUUGGUUUUUCAAUAAAGGCCUCAAGCACUCCGAAAUGUCCCUUUGUAGAUUAUAUAACAAGAGUGUUUUAUGGCUGCAUAGUAUUCCAUGGUGUAUAUGUGCCACAUUUUCUUAAUCCAGUCUAUCACUGUUGGAUAUUUGGGUUGGUUCCAUGUCUUUGCUAUUGUGAAUAGUGCCGCAAUAAAUAUACGUGUGCAUGUGUCUUUAUAGCAGCAUGAUUUAUAGUCCUUUGGGUAUAUACCCAGUUCAUGUCCUUUGUAGGGACAUGGAUGAAAUUGGAAAUCAUCAUUCUCGGUAAACUAUCACAAGAACAAAAAACCAAACACCGCAUAUUCUCAUUCAUAGGUAGGAAUUGAACAAUGAGAACACAUGGACACAGGAAGGGGAACAUCACACUCUGGGGAGUGUUGUGGGGUGGGGGGAGUGGGGAGAGAUAGCAUUGGGAGAUAUACCUAAUGCUAGAUGACGAGUUAGUGUGUGCAGCGCACCAGCAUGUCACAUGUAUACAUAUGUAACUAAACUGCACAUUGUGCACAUGUACCCUAAAACUUAAAGUAUAAUAAUAAUAAAAAAAGAGUGUUUUAAAAGUGCUG
rnacentral:lncRNA from 1 species